rnacentral:rRNA from 1 species
CCUACGGGAGGCAGCAGUCGGGGAUCUUGCACAAUGGGCGAAAGCCUGAUGCAGCAACACCGUGUGAGCGAUGAAGGCCCUAGGGUCGUAAAGCUCUGUUGUUAGGGACGAAGGGCGAAGGGUUAAUAGCCCUUAGCCUGACGGUACUUGUACAGAAAGCCCCGGCUAACUACGUGCCAGCAGCCGCGGUAAUACGUAGGGGGCGAGCGUUGUCCGGAAUUAUUGGGCGUAAAGAGCGUGUAGGCGGCUUGGUAAGUCUGCUGUGAAACCUUGGGGCUCAACCCCAAGCGUGCAGUGGAUACUGUCAAGCUAGAGGAUGGUAGAGGCCAGUGGAAUUCCCAGUGUAGCGGUGAAAUGCGCAGAUAUCGGGAGGAACACCAGUAGCGAAGGCGGCUGGCUGGGCCAUUCCUGACGCUGAGACGCGGAAGCUAGGGGAGCGAACAGGAUUAGAUACCCUGGUAGUUCUAGCCGUAAACGAUGAACACUAGGUGUGGGGGGAGUCGAAUCCCUCCGUGCCGAAGCCAACGCGUUAAGUGUUCCGCCUGGGGAGUACGGCCGCAAGGCUAAAACUCAAAUGAAUUGACGGGG